UAAGUAGAGGUGAUCGUUGCACCACAGGGUGAAUAAACACUCUGCGAAAUGCCACUGAAUUCUUCCCUUUACAAUGGUUCAUUUUAUGUUAUGUGUAUCUCACCUUAAUACGAAAUAAAAACACAGCAGCUGUCCAUCCGCAGGGAUCCUAGGAUGCGCCCUCAUUCCACAGGGCCUGCUUGCUGGACGCGGUGUCGGACCCGUCGGUACUGCCUGUGCCGAGUCACACGCGGUUUGGGGCCUUGUUUACGGUGUGGCUCUCCCCUCCCUGCCAGCCAACUGGGUCAGAACCCGCGAAGGAUUUUACAAACUCCUUUCGGGGAUUCGCCCGCAACUGAAGCUGGAGAAUGAUUGGCGUGUGGGACCGUGCUUUGCUCCCGGGAGCUGAGAUUUCCCACGUGGCUCCCCUCCUGCUUGGAUGUGUCCGGGUGUCAGCGGACACAGCGGGGUGGGUCGUGGCACCACGUGGAAUGGGACGGACUGAAGAACAACCACUUUGCCUGUUCCGUUUCCUCAUCGGUGAAAAAGGGGAUCCGCAAAUUCGCCUCCACCCCUGGGACCUUACUGGGAAGUCGGGCCUUUGCAGAUGUAAUCGGUUAAGGAUCUCGUGCUGACAUCACCCUGGCCUGAGGGUGGACCCUGAAUCUGCCUGCUGGUGUCCUUGUAAGAAGACGAGAGGCCACACAGAGAGACGUGAACAGAGCGGAGAAGGCCACCCGAAAGCAAAGCGGAGAGUGGAGUCAUGUGGCCAAAAGCCACGGGAUACCUGGAGCUUCCAGGAGCUGGAGGGGGCCAGGAAGAAUUCUCCCCCGGAGCCUUUGGAGGGACCGUGGGCCUGCCGGCACCUUGACAUCUGACUUGUGGCCUCCUGGACCCGGAGAACUGAUGCAUGUUGUUUUCCUCACCCGGGUUGUGGCACUUUGUCAUGGGCCGUCCCGGGAGACAAAAACACCCCCUCAAGGGACAGCUGUCACCGCAAGCAUUGGACACACAGCACAUAGGAGGUGUCCCGUGAACGACCGCUAGCAUCACUGUGCUGCCUGUGGCCCUGCAGGGGCCCAGCGGGUCAAAAGGAGCAUUGCCAGCGUCCGCGGGGACACCCGGCCCCCGUGGUGCCCUGUGUCACCCCACGCCCUCCUGGCUGCCUGCGGCUGGAGCCUUAGGAGGACCGAGCCGGAGGGAGAGAAAACAAGGAGGCAGCUGGGAAGGGCAGCCGUGGGCUGAGGGUUGAGGUCUGCGGGAGGAAUGUUCACCGCCAUGAAUCACGGCUUCCAGGCCCCUCUCAGCCUGCUGACACAUCACGCCCCAGGGGGAGGGCAGCGAUGACCUCAUGCCGGUGGUCACACACUCCGGGCUCCUCCCAGCACCGCCCAGGGCUCAGCGUUUGCCCAGAGGGAGCUGUCCCCACCCCACCCCUGCCCAAGUCUGUGUGCUCUCUCCUCCCUCACACACACGGCAGGACGAGCUGACCUUCGGAGCCAAGACUUCGGUGGAGGUUUAUUAUCUGGAUGCUUUUGGAACGGGCCGGGCGAGCACGCUGAACAUCUGCGUGGGGAGGGCCUGCUGGGAGGAGCUUCGAAGGGACUCGUUCCCAGGGCCGGAGUCCCACUCUCUCGAUGGCUUACAGACGGGGACACCGAGGCCCAGAGGAGUCAAGGGCUUGCUGUACGCCUCCAAAUCCGAGGCCUUUUUGGUUGCAAAGAGCGAGGAUUGGAAUUCAGAAUUUAUCUUGGGCAAGACUCUGUUCUGCCUCCUGGACCAGCGGCCUCAUCUGCUCGGCCGCCGCCGUGCAUCUCACUUCCCCGGCUCCCGGUCCCUGGACGUACCCUCUAGAAACGACUCAAUUUCCUUUGCCCUGGCCUUCCGAAAAGCAAGCAGGGCUGCUGAUAGCAGUGAUCUUAGCUCUACGAGCUGCCCCCGUGCGCGCCCCGCCUUCAGAGACGGAGAAAGUUUUCCCCAGGCCCCCGAUUCGGGUUCCUGGCCACUAUAUCGCCAGACCACCGUGAGCAAGAAUCUUAGGAGAGUCUAUUGAGACAGGACAUCUAGCGUGGAGAAUGGGUCCCUGAGCAUCUGGGGCACGUGCAGCCCCCAACCUAUCUUCUGUCCUAGCUGGAGAGACCUAGAGACUUCGGUGAGCUGAGCCACCGCGGUGCAUGGGCUUUGACCAGGGAUCUGGGACAACAGGCUGGGCCGCUUUGACCUCCCCAAGGCUCCUGCUUAUUUAUGUUACCAUUAGAACUCGAAGCCAAUAUUUAAGCAUUACCAAAGCAACAGCCCAAAUUCUCCAGCCCUUGGCCCCCAUCCAGCCCCACACGGUGGGGACGGAGCAGGAGGGAGGGGCAAGGAAAAUGAGUCAACCGUGCCCCCCACCUCCCAACCACCUGGGAAAACAGUGGCCCAAAAAGCAGAUCUCAGCUUCUCUUGCGGGGCAGCUGUUCGCUUCCGUGGUCCUACGACUCCGCGCUUUGCACCCAGGCAGAACCAAGUCAAGCAAGACCUCGGUCUCCCAGGAUUUUAUUUUACUUUUGUUGUACGGUUGGAGCCAAUAGGUUUUUCAAACUUCGUAUAGGCAUUUCAUGUGGCGAAGAACAUGGACAAGCCAUCAGGGUUCAAUUUUCUUGUCACCGGCCGGAUGCAUCUUUCACCAGGACCCAGACUAAGCAACGGCACACGGGCGGCACCCUCUCCCCAGGCCCCCUGGUCCCCGCUCCUCGUUACUGGACCCCGAGGGGGUAACCGUUGUGCUCGCCACUCACGGCCUCGCUUAGUUUUGCCUGGUUGUGAACUUUGUAUACGUGGAAUCGUACCCUAUGUUCUCUCCUGGACUGGAGCCAAUGGCGUUUUCGGUUCUCGAGAGACCUGAGUGGCCCUUCUCGCCAGCAGCUCUGGGGAGGAGCAAACACAGAGAAGGCACCUUCCCUGUCCCACAAGCCAGUAGGUGUCAAGACAGGAACUGGAAAGCAUAUAUAGAAGGGGAGGGGGCAGGCAGUGAUCUUGAUUUAAAAAGAAAGGCACACUAUCCUUUUGUGCCCCGUGUAACUGGCGUUUCUAUCUGGCGUUCGGGGAAGGAGACAGGAGGGGAAGAGUAGAGUCAUAAUGAGCCCGAUGGCUGGGGUCUCCGGAACCUGGGCCCCCCCCCCCCCCAUCCUCAGUUUUUCUGGCGGGAUGCUGGGGCUGCCUGCAUCCUCACUGUCGCCGGGGAGGCUCUCCUCUGCCGGGCUGGCUCCAAUAGCCCCCGGGUUUAUGCCUGGGCGGCACAGGGCACAGAUUUACCAGCUGCGGCCCCCGUGUGUCCCUGUGGUGUGGGUGCUCCUGGGCUCCUGGCCGCCUGAUCAGUGGCCCCGUGCGGCACCCCCCCCCCCCCCCCAGGGCUGCCUUGGAUUUCAGUGUUUUUUGGUCCCAGGACUGGGGAGUGGGGGAGGGGUAGUCCUUGGUGCUUCACAGCGCGGGGGCCACAGGGAGCCUCAAACUAUCUGCAGAGAAGACCCAGCUUAGGAAAUGUCCCGUGCGUCGCAGACGGCUGCCUUUGUGAACUAUGGUAACCGUGGCAUGCUCAGGAAAAUGAAAGGGAAGGAAUAAAGGCCAUACAGGCCCCCCAUUUCUUUUUUGUUACUGGAG